GCCAGCUUCAGCGGGCAGAAAGGGGAAGGAAGGCUGGCGCAGCUGUGACCGCCGGCUCCAAGGCAGCCGUGCUGACGGCCACUUCCAGAGUUCCUAAGACUCUGCUCUUCUCCUGACACCACCCACCCCACCCCCAACACCCCGGACACUCGAAUCCAUGGUACCGAAGACAAUCCGCGCAGGCUGGAGAGCUUGUGAGAUGAAGAAGGCAAGUCCGGGAGGGGUGAAGGAACUUUCCAGAGCAGUGCCAGAGCUAGCGGGCAGAAGAGCCAGCCUUUGAACAGAGGCAGCCCAGCCCCUGCUGCUUGUCCCGCCGGAACCACGGUGUGACGUGCCAUGGCGCCUCCAGGCAGUGUAGUUGCGUAGUUUUUGAAAACCCUCAAACCUCGUCCCUUGCACAUGUGUUCAUCGAGCAAACCCUCCCCAGACCCCAGCAGCCACGCCGGAGAGUGACCAGGCUUGGAGAGGAAAGCACACCGCGGCUUGUCCCCAACUCCAGACAGGCUGGGGAGCCGUUUAGAUGACCAUGAAUCAGGGUUCCUUUGAGUGGAUCAACUGGAGUUGUUUAGCAAUCCUCGACAAACUCACCAUUGCCGCUCCCAGCCCAUAGGAGAAGGCCUUGUAUUUGCUGCGCGGUGAGGCUGAGCGAGCCGGUGCCUCCCAGACAGGCGGACACGAUUCCUGCCCCAGGGAGGGGUCAGUUAUCAGCCAGAUGCCACUGCUGCUCAGCAGCGGUGACUCCCUGCUCCCUUGGAAUCAUCUCAUUUCAGAUCUUCCUCUGAUGGAAUCUCUAGAAUUUCAGUUAAAAUAAAAAUGCUGCCCACGAGCAAAAGCGGAAUUACUUCCUUGACUUUGUGGUGGGGUCCUGAACAUACCAACACAGGAGCCAGCAGGUCCAGUCACCCAGUU